rnacentral:rRNA from 1 species
GACGAACGCUGGCGGCGUGCUUAACACAUGCAAGUCGAACGGAAAGGCCCUGCUUGCAGGGUGCUCGCGUGGCGAACGGGUGAGUAACACGUGGGUGGUCUGCCCCUCUUUUUGGGUUAAGCCUCGGCAGCUGGGUCUAAUACUUGAUAGAUCCAUGCUUUAGGUGGUGUGGUGGAUAGAUUAGGUUCGGUCUGGAUUGAGCUCGCGGCCGAUCCGCUUGUUGGUGGGGCAAUGGCGGACCAAGGCGUCGACGGGUAGACGGCCUGUGAGGGAGGAGGGACACAGUCGGACUGCGAAAGGGAGCAGGCAGCAACGGGAGGCAGGAGUGGGGCAAAUUCCUCAAUGGGCGCAGGCCUGAUGCAGCGACGGCGCGUGGGGGAUGACGGCCUUCGGGUUGUAAACUACUUACAGCGAUGACGAAGCCCUUGUGGUGACGGUAGUGGUAGAAGAAGCACCGGCUAACUACGUG